UACAGAGGUCUCAAGCGUUGUUCGGAUUCAUUGGGCGUAAAGGGUGCGUAGGUGGUGCUGUAAGUCAGGUGUGAAAUCGUCGGGGCUCAACCCCGAAACUGCACUUGAUACUGCAGUGCUCGAGGACUGGAGAGGAGAUUGGAAUUCAUGGUGUAGCAGUGAAAUGCGUAGAUAUCAUGAGGAAGACCAGUGGCGAAGGCGGAUCUCUGGACAGUUCCUGACACUGAGCACGAAGGCCAGGGGAGCAAACGGG
rnacentral:rRNA from 1 species